GGCCGUUGGUUUUCUCGUAUGAAUUCUUUUACAUUUUCAUUUCGGGUCCUUUAAUAUCUGACUAUGCGGUAUUGACCUUGCUCAUUGUUGAAGGGAGUACGGUGACCUAUAGUUGUUAAUUUCUGUGUCAUUUUGGUCUCAUGUGGAGAGUUGUCUCAUUGGCAAUCAUACCACAUCUUUUUUUUUUCUGAUAUAAACAACGGGUAACAGGGGAUUUGAAAGACUUACAGCAGGUGGGUUUUUACACUUAU
rnacentral:lncRNA from 1 species